UGUAGCGGUUCGCAGACAGGCGCUGGAAACUCGGAGAAACUGUCCCUAAAAGUGGCUUCAUCCAUCCUCACACCUGAUCUCCCAUCCCUGCCAAGGCGCCGGCGUCCCUCCUCCCCGCCCCAAUCCUGCCCAAUUAUCGGGAUGAGAGGUGUGUGAACUGCAACUCCCACAACGCACCGCGCUGAGAGCUCUGUACUCCACGAAUCAGGUGGCUCGGGUCAGGUGACUUCUGUCCCGCCCCACACAAAGUAAAGCCGGCCGAGGGAAGCGAGUCCAGUUUGAAGCGGCUCCUGCGUCUCGUGUGGUCAGUCUCGUAAGCGCAGAGGAUCUCAGUUCACAUUCCAGUCCUGUGGAAUGAGAGAGGAGCCAGUUAGGCCUGAUAUCUGCAUCUGAGAGGAAAACCAGACUGUAACCUUGGAACAAAGUGAAUCCUGAACUUGACACAGGCAGUUCUUUGAAAUCAAGGAACA